GGGCCUGUAGCAUAGUCUGGAUGUCUCAGGACAAAUAGUGCUUCCGGCUUCGGACCGGACGACCGGGGUUCGAAUCCUCGCAGGCUCA
rnacentral:tRNA from 1 species